rnacentral:lncRNA from 1 species
GCGUCCUGACAUUCUUCAAGGACUCAAAGACCUCGGCUGCAGGCGGCCUGAGGCAGCCUUCCAAGUUUUCCACCCCUGAGUACACAGUGGAGCUGAGGGGGGCCACUCUCUCCUGGGCCCCCAAAGACAAAUCCAGUAGGAAGAAUGUGCUGGAGCUACGGAGCCGAGAUGGCUCUGAGUACCUGAUCCAGCACGACUCGGAGGCCAUCAUCAGCACCUGGCAUAAGGCCAUUGCUCAGGGCAUCCAGGAGCUGGGCUCCAUGCAGCUAAGGGAGGUG